GGUCUUAUAGUCUAACUAAGAUACUAGACUGCAAUUCUAGAGAUGUAAUUUUACUAAGGCUUAAAAGAUUA
rnacentral:tRNA from 1 species